UACGGAGGGGGCUAGCGUUGUUCGGAUUUACUGGGCGUAAAGGGCGCGCAGGCGGCCAUUCAAGUCAGGCGUGAAAGCCCCGGGCUUAACCUGGGAGGUGCGUCUGGGACUGGGUGGCUAGAGAUCGGGAGAGGAGAGUGGAAUCCCAGUUGUAGAGGUGAAAUUCGUAGAUAUUGGGAAGAACACCGGUGGCGAAGGCGGCUCUCUGGACCGAUACUGACGCUGAGGCGCGAAAAGCGUGGGGAGCAAACAGGG
rnacentral:rRNA from 1 species